rnacentral:rRNA from 1 species
UAGUGAACCUGCGGAAGGAUCAUUGUUG